UUAACUUCUGCUCCAUAUAUCUCAUUGCCUGUGUUGCUGGCAUUUGCAGUCUUAGAGUAUCAAUCUUCACUAUCUCCUUCAUAGUCCGAAAGUGCCUGUUCAAGAUCCAUAGCCAGGUCAUCUUCACUAUCUUCUCCAUUGUGUGCGAGCGCCUGUUCAAGUUCCUUUGCGAGGUCAUCAUCAAAUCCAUCUUCCUCCAGUUGAUGAUUAUCAUUGUCCCCCUGAGUAUGGGACUGGCCAGAAGUUUCCCCCAAUUCACUAUGUACAGUAACUUGGCGUUGUCGGAGGUUGUAUGG
rnacentral:lncRNA from 1 species